rnacentral:rRNA from 1 species
GGCGGGCCUAACACAUGCAAGUCGAACGGGCUAGCAAUAGUCAGUGGCGCACGGGUGCGUAACACGUGGGUAAUCAACCCUUCAGCUUGGAUAACGCCUUGAAAGGGGCGCUAAUACCGGAUACGGCGCGAUAGUCCUCGGACUGCCACGAGAAGGUUCGCAAGGACCACUGAAGGACGAGCCUGCGGCCCAUCAGCUAGUUGGUGAGGUAAGAGCUCACCAAGGCUAAGACGGGUAGCUGGUCUGAGAGGAUGAUCAGCCACACUGGAACUGAGACACGGUCCAGACUCCUACGGGAGGCAGCAGUGGGGAAUAUUGCGCAAUGGGCGAAAGCCUGACGCAGCCACGCCGCGUGAGCGAUGAAGGCCUUCGGGUCGUAAAGCUCUGUGGGGAGAGACGAAGAAAGCCCGUGAAGAGCGGGCCUUGACGGUAUCUCCUUAGCAAGCACCGGCUAACUCCGUG